GUCCACGCCGUAAACGAUGAAUACUAGGUGUUGGGAGCAAAGCUCUUCGGUGCCGCCGCAAACGCAUUAAGUAUUCCACCUGGGAGUACGUUCGCAAGAAUGAAACUCAAAGGAAUUGACGGGACCCGCACAAGCGGUGGAGCAUGUGGUUUAAUUCGAAGCAACGCGAAGAACCUUACCAAGUCUUGACAUCCCUCUGACCGACUCUUAACCGAGUCUUCCUUCGGGACAGGGGAGACAGGUGGUGCAUGGUUGUCGU
rnacentral:rRNA from 1 species